UACGUAGGCAGCGAGCGUUGUUCGGAGUUACUGGGCGUAAAGGGUGUGUAGGCGGUUCUUUAAGUUUAGUGUGAAAUCUCCCGGCUCAACCGGGAGGGUGCGCUGAAUACUGAGGGACUAGAGUACGGGAGAGGAAAGUGGAAUUGACGGUGUAGCGGUGAAAUGCAUAGAUAUCGUCAAGAACACCGAUAGCGAAGGCAGCUUACCAAGCUGUAACUGACGCUGAGGCACGAAAGUGUGGGGAUCAAACAGG
rnacentral:rRNA from 1 species